AACGCGAAGAACCUUACCUACCUUUGAAUCCACGGAAUCUUGCAGAGAUGUGAGAGUGCCUUCGGGAACCGUGAGACAGGUGCUGCAUGGCUGUCGUCAGCUCGUGUCGUGAGAUGUUGGGUUAAGUCCCGUAACGAGCGCAACCCUUAUCCUUAGUUACCAUCAAGUAAAGUUGGGGACUUUAAGGAGACUGCUGGUGAUAAACCGGAGGAAGGUGGGGAUGACGUCAAGUCCUCAUGGCCCUUACAGGUAGGGCUACACACGUGCUACAAUGGCCGGUACAGAGGGUUGCCAACCCGCGAGGGGGAGCUAAUCUCAAAAAGCCGGUCGUAGUCCGGAUUGGAGCCUGCAACUCGGCUCCAUGAAGUUGGAAUCGCUAGUAAUCGCGGAUCAGCACGCCGCGGUGAAUACGUUCCCGGGCCUUGUACACACCGUAGUAC
rnacentral:rRNA from 1 species